AAGUCUGGUGCCAGCAGCCGCGGUAAUUCCAGCUCCAAUAGCGUAUAUUAAAAUUGUUGCGUCUAAAAAGCUCGUAGUUUGAAAACUUGCCUUGGCUUACAAAUGGCUCUACUAGGGCCGCCGUUUGUUGAGAGCAAAUAUGGAUGACUGUUUUUGCCGACUUAAUUGCUUGGCUUAUAAGAGUCAUCAAAUAUCACUUUGAUUAAAUUAGAGUGCUUAAAGCAAGUGUGUUACUUGGAUAUAAAUGCAUGGAAUGAUGGAAUAUGUUGUUGUUCUAUUUGUUGGUUUUGGAACGAUGAAAUGAUUGAAAGGAACUGUUGGGGGCAUUCGUAUUGUUGUGAGAGAGGUGAAAUUCUUAGACCACAGCAAGACGAACUACUGCGAAAGCAUUUGCCAAGAAUGUUUUCAUUGAUCAAGAACGAAAGUUAGAGGUUCGAAGGCGAUCAGAUACCGCCCUAGUUCUAACCAUAAACCGAUGCCAA
rnacentral:rRNA from 1 species